UUUCCAUAGACACCAAGAACGCAGAAAUCCAUCGAGCGGAUUGUCCGAUUUUUGCUCGGGAAGAUUUUAGCCCAUUUCGACUUUUGGGCUAGAUUUCUCGAAAACCGUGAAUCCCACGAGAAAACCGAGGCCACCAGCACGCUCCAUUCGUCGAGAGCUUCGCAACGACAUAAAUUUCGAAUUUUUCCGACACCGUUUUUCGGUAUCCUCGAUUCGCGAAAAUUCGACAGUUGACCGGGUCUGCAAAUUUCGGGCCAGACAGACCCGUUACCGGAAAAGUCUCCGAAUUGGAUCGAGGUUUUGGCUAGCCCCCCAUUGUCAGACGUCCCGAGCGCGUUCCCGAAGUCGGAAU